AAAUACAAAUUAGCUGAGCAUGGUGGUGCAUGCCUGUAGUCCCAGCUACUGGGGAGGCUGAGGCAGGAGAAUCGCUCAAACCCAGGAGGCGGAGGUUGCAGUGAGCUGAGAUCACACCACUAUACUCCAGCCUGGGCAACAAAGUGAGACUCCAUCUCAAAAGCAAAAAGCAUUAAUUAUAGGAGCACUGUGAAGAAGAAGAGGUGAGAACGACCCCCUAGGCUGACCAAAGCCCGUGUGCCACCGUAUCCCCAUGCAUUGCUGCAUCCCUGCAGCCAGCACCUGUGUGCAGCCACCAUUGCCACCAUGCCCAAGAGAAAGGCUGAAGGGGAUGCUAAAGAAGAUAAGGCCAAGAUAAAGGACAAACUACAGGGAAGAUCCACAAAGUUGUCUGGAAAGCCUGCUCUGCCAAAGCCACAGCUGAAGCCUAAAAAGGCCCCUACAAAAAAGGGAGAGAAAGUAUCCAAAGGGGAAAAAGGAAGAGCCAACUCUGACAAAGAGGUGAAUAAACCUGCAGAAAAUGGAGAUGCCAGAACGGAGAAGGCACAGAAAGCUGAAGGUGCUGGAGAUGCCAAGUGAAGUGUAUGCAUUUUUGAUAAAUCUGUACUUCUGGUGA
rnacentral:lncRNA from 1 species